rnacentral:lncRNA from 1 species
CAGGUCACCUCUGUACAGGGCAUGCUGGGACUUCCUCCCAGCUGUUUUACAUCAUGAAGAUUUGUGUGCUGGGGAAAUUCCAGGGCACAGCUGCAAUUAAUCUGCUGCUGGGUCUCCAGGCGGAGCUGGUCUUGGAGGAUGAUUCUCCACCUCCCUGCAGGAGAGGGGCUCAGGUCUUUAGGGCAAACAUCCUUCAGAGGGUCCCUUCCCAGGCCCAAGUCGAGCGGAAACAGCCCACCUGGCCCAGUGCUCGUCCAAGGAGGGCUCCGGGGAGGAGCCCGAGGGACAGAAGGGGACUCGGAGCAAUGAGGAAAUGAGGAGCAGCACCCUCUGCCUAGUGGGCCAAACCACACCGACAGCAGCAUUUGACACAGAUGUCACCAAAAGACUAGUUCACCCUGAGUUAGGAAUGUGGAGGUGAAAACCUCCGGCAGUCUGAGGAGCAUCCCCCAGCAUGGUGCAAGAAGAGCGUGGCCAGUGGGGCCUCCCUGGGUGCCCCAGAGGUGCUCCAGCGUGGGAAACCCAUCAGCCGUCCAGCUCCCCCGAGAGCUGGGGAGACCACAGGACUACUUUGGUGGCUGCUGAGAGAAUUCAACUUUUCCAGUGAAAAAAGGAACAGAAUCAGCCUUCCUUAAAAGGUAAAGAUGUGGUCAGACCCUGGCCUCACGUCCUGAGCCACCGUCCAGAGCCCUAGCCCCUCGGGAGCUGCCCCCACCUGUCCAUCACACACCUGGUGGCAGGCUGUGCAGCCUGUGAGUCCAGGCUGGCUGUGCCUGACUCUUGUCCCCUUUCUCUUUCCCAUGCCAAGAGUCCUUAUCUCAUGUGCAGCACCCCAGAGGCUGCUGCCCAGGCUCUGCAUUCUAGUGGGACUCCCAGGAGGGAGACGACCUGCCUGCAGGGUACUCCCCUCGCCCUGUGGGGAAGCUGGCCAGGAGCCAAGCCUGCAGGAACCAGUUGCAUGGACACCCGAGGGCUCAGAGGACCCAGCAGCUUUCCUUUGGCCACAUUCCAUUACUGGGCAAAGAAUCUGAGUUCAGCCACAUGUCACUUAAUCCCCAAGGACAGGAGCAAUAGCCCCGUGAAUGAGGGGCUGACCUUCGUGAGAAUCACCAGCAGAGGGAGCUUCAUCUCCUGGCCUUGGACGGGCCUGACCUAGGACCUCAGAACAGCCCCGCCACUCCGGCGUCCUCACCUGAGGUGGGAGGUGCAGUGAGCACUGCCACUCCUGUUGCCCAGAUGCUGGUCCUGGGGCGCUCACCACCCCUGCAGUGCACCUCUCCUCAGCUGCAAGACCUCCCGUCCUACAGGUCACCACACCCCACCCCAGCAUACAUUGCAAACCAUUGAAAAGGCACAGUGGUGAUCGGGGAGAGCGACAGUCCUCCACACUGCUAACCCAGGACACGUCCUCUACGCAUGCCACCCCAGAGGCAACAUUGCUGUCUUCCCA